AGUUUUCAGAGAUGAGAAUGUGCCUUCGGGAACCGUGAGACAGGUGCUGCAUGGCUGUCGUCAGCUCGUGUUGUGAAAUGUUGGGUUAAGUCCCGCAACGAGCGCAACCCUUAUCCUUUGUUGCCAGCGGUCCGGCCGGGAACUCAAAGGAGACUGCCAGUGAUAAACUGGAGGAAGGUGGGGAUGACGUCAAGUCAUCAUGGCCCUUACGACCAGGGCUACACACGUGCUACAAUGGCGCAUACAAAGAGAAGCGACCUCGCGAGAGCAAGCGGACCUCAUAAAGUGCGUCGUAGUCCGGAUUGGAGUCUGCAACUCGACUCCAUGAAGUCGGAAUCGCUAGUAAUCGUGGAUCAGAAUGCCACGGUGAAUACGUUCCCGGGCCUUGUACACACCGCCCGUCACACCAUGGGAGUGGGUUGCAAAAGAAGUAGGUAGCUUAACCUUCGGGAGGGCGCUUACCACUUUGUGAUUCAUGACUGGGGUGAAGUCGUAACAAGGUAACCGUAGGGGAACCUGCGGUUGGAUCACCUCCUUACCUUAAAGAAGC
rnacentral:rRNA from 1 species